AGGGGGGCCUACCCAUGCAGUCGAGCGGUAGAGAGAAGCUUGCUUCUCUUGAGAGCGGCGGACGGGUGAGUAAUGCCUAGGAAUCUGCCUGGUAGUGGGGGAUAACGUUCGGAAACGGACGCUAAUACCGCAUACGUCCUACGGGAGAAAGCAGGGGACCUUCGGGCCUUGCGCUAUCAGAUGAGCCUAGGUCGGAUUAGCUAGUUGGUGGGGUAAUGGCUCACCAAGGCGACGAUCCGUAACUGGUCUGAGAGGAUGAUCAGUCACACUGGAACUGAGACACGGUCCAGACUCCUACGGGAGGCAGCAGUGGGGAAUAUUGGACAAUGGGCGAAAGCCUGAUCCAGCCAUGCCGCGUGUGUGAAGAAGGUCUUCGGAUUGUAAAGCACUUUAAGUUGGGAGGAAGGGUUGUAGAUUAAUACUCUGCAAUUUUGACGUUACCGACAGAAUAAGCACCGGCUAACUCUGUGCCAGCAGCCGCGGUAAUACAGAGGGUGCAAGCGUUAAUCGGAAUUACUGGGCGUAAAGCGCGCGUAGGUGGUUUGUUAAGUUGGAUGUGAAAUCCCCGGGCUCAACCUGGGAACUGCAUUCAAAACUGACUGACUAGAGUAUGGUAGAGGGUGGUGGAAUUUCCUGUGUAGCGGUGAAAUGCGUAGAUAUAGGAAGGAACACCAGUGGCGAAGGCGACCACCUGGACUAAUACUGACACUGAGGUGCGAAAGCGUGGGGAGCAAACAGGAUUAGAUACCCUGGUAGUCCACGCCGUAAACGAUGUCAACUAGCCGUUGGAAGCCUUGAGCUUUUAGUGGCGCAGCUAACGCAUUAAGUUGACCGCCUGGGGAGUACGGCCGCAAGGUUAAAACUCAAAUGAAUUGACGGGGGCCCGCACAAGCGGUGGAGCAUGUGGUUUAAUUCGAAGCAACGCGAAAGAACCUUACCAGGCCUUGACAUCCAAAUGAAACUUUUCUAGAGAUAGAUUGGUGCCCUUCGGGAACAUUGAGACAGGUGCUGCAUGGGCUGUCGUCAGCUCGUGUCGUGAGAAUGGUUUGGGUUUAAGGUCCUCGUAACGAGCGCAAUCCUUGGCUCCUUAGCUUAACCAGGCACACCGGUUAAAAUG
rnacentral:rRNA from 1 species